GCAGGGUGUGGUGGUGUGUGCCUGUAGUCCCAGCUACUGGGGAGACUGAGGCUGGAGGAUUGCUUGAGCCCAGGAGUUCUGGGCUGUAGUGCACUAUGCUGAUCAGGUGUCCGCACUAAGUUUGGCAUCAAUAUGGUGAUCUCCCAGGAGCGGGGGACCACCAGGCUGCCUAAGGAGGGUUGAACGGCCCAGGUCAGAAAUGGAGCAGGUCAAAACUCCCAUACUGAUCAGUAGUGGGAUCGCGUCUGUGAAUAGCCACUGCUCUCCAGCCUGGGCAACAUAGAGAGACCCCUGUCUCU
ensembl:misc_RNA Metazoa_SRP Metazoan signal recognition particle RNA